rnacentral:rRNA from 1 species
UGGCGCAGCUUACACAUGCAGUCGACGGCAGCACGGGGAGCUUGCUCCCUGGUGGCGAGUGGCGGACGGGUGAGUAACGCGUAGGAAUCUGCCCUGCAGUGGGGGACAACCCGGGGAAACCCGGGCUAAUACCGCAUACGAUUUACGGAUGAAAGUGGGUCCUUCGGGGCACACGCUGUGGGAUGAGCCUGCGUCGGAUUAGCUUGUUGGUGGGGUAAAGGCCUACCAAGGCGACGAUCCGUAGCUGGUCUGAGAGGAUGAUCAGCCACACUGGGACUGAGACACGGCCCAGACUCCUACGGGAGGCAGCAGUGGGGAAUAUUGGACAAUGGGGGCAACCCUGAUCCAGCAAUGCCGCGUGUGUGAAGAAGGCCUGCGGGUUGUAAAGCACUUUCAGUAGGGAAGAGGGCGGCCGAGUAACGAUCGGUCGUUGACGUUACCUACAGAAGAAGCACCGGCUAACUCCGUGCCAGCAGCCGCGGUAAUACGGAGGGUGCGAGCGUUAAUCGGAAUUACUGGGCGUAAAGCGCGUGUAGGCGGUUGAGUGAGUCAGAUGUGAAAGCCCUGGGCUUAACCUGGGAAUGGCAUUUGAUACUGCUUGGCUAGAGUCUGACAGAGGGUGGCGGAAUUCCGGGUGUAGCGGUGAAAUGCGUAGAUAUCCGGAGGAACACCGGUGGCGAAGGCGGCCACCUGGGUCAAGACUGACGCUGAGGUGCGAAAGCGUGGGGAGCGAACAGGAUUAGAUACCCUGGUAGUCCACGCUGUAAACGAUGAGAACUUGGUGUUG